rnacentral:rRNA from 1 species
ACGAACGCUGGCGGCGUGCUUAACCCAUGCAAGUCGAACGGAAAGGCCCUGCUUUUGUGGGGUGCUCGAGUGGCGAACGGGUGAGUAACACGUGAGUAACCUGCCCUUGACUUUGGGAUAACUUCAGGAAACUGGGGCUAAUACCGGAUAGGAGCUCCUGCUGCAUGGUGGGGGUUGGAAAGUUUCGGCGGUUGGGGAUGGACUCGCGGCUUAUCAGCUUGUUGGUGGGGUAGUGGCUUACCAAGGCUUUGACGGGUAGCCGGCCUGAGAGGGUGACCGGCCACAUUGGGACUGAGAUACGGGCCAGACUCCUACGGGAGGCAGCAGUGGGGAAUAUUGCACAAUGGGCGGAAGCCUGAUGCAGCAACGCCGCGUGCGGGAUGACGGCCUUCGGGUUGUAAACCGCUUUCGCCUGUGACGAAGCGUGAGUGACGGUAAUGGGUAAAGAAGCACCGGCUAACUACGUG